ACUCAGUCAGUCCAUUUACACAGAGAAACGCUUCACAUGUCAGCUGGUGCCCGAGUCCGGCUCUGGAGACUGCAGAAACUCAUAGGGGUCGUGAACCAUCUCCGCCUGGUCUCCAACACCCAUGUUAGCGGCGUGUGUUACCUAAAUGGUGCUGGUCUCGCUCGGAGGCAUUGGAGAGAGAGGAGAGAUUGGAGGAAGGUCUGGAUCCGACCCUGUCCACUGCUGCAUCCUGGAAUUCCUGCAGCAGCUUGGCCGUGUCGUCAAAGUGUUGGUGGCCGUCCUCAUGCUCGGGCUCCUUCUUCACAGAUUUCCCUGCUACAGAAUGGGGGAAAAAAUGACGAGGGAAUGUAUUCGACACUGCCUCAAGCUGCUCGGUUGUUCUUUCUGCAUUGAAAGUUGAAAAGACAUGAAAAGACUUACCCAGAGGGUUGAGCAUGUCCAGGGUCAUGUCUGGGUAAUUCCUAAGGCUCAUAAAGUCCAGCACUGAUCCACUGUCCAUCAUGGCUUCAUCUGCACUCUGACAUCACAAAUCAUACAGGCAUGAGGAACCACAGUCUGUCUGAGAUACCGAUCCACGCAUCUUGGUUUGGCGUGCAAUGAAAAGGACAAACCUAGCAGUGGUAACCUUAGCUCCCUUUAUUUUUCUCCUUGUAAGUCACGCUGCUCUAGUGCACAACUAAAGAAGGAUACUCCAGACACCAAAUGUUUUAGUUGGCUACAUUUUGGCUAAACUGUUGCUGUUCCCAGAAAUGUUCCCAGGUACCUGUCGG